ACGAACGCUGGCGGCGUGCUUAACACAUGCAAGUCGAACGGUGAAGCGCCUUCCUUUUUGGUGGGUGUGGAUGAGUGGCGAACGGGUGAGUAACACGCGAGUAACCUGCCCCCUUCUUCUGGAUAACCGCAUGAAAGUGUGGCUAAUACGGGAUAUUCUGGGUCUGUCGCAUGAUGGGUCUGGGAAAGAUAUUGUUUCGGUGGGGGAUGGGCUCGCGGCCUAUCAGCUUGUUGGUGGGGUGAUGGCCUACCAAGGCGGUGACGGGUAGCCGGCCUGAGAGGGUGGACGGUCACACUGGGACUGAGACACGGCCCAGACUCCUACGGGAGGCAGCAGUGGGGAAUAUUGCACAAUGGGCGCAAGCCUGAUGCAGCGACGCCGCGUGAGGGAUGGAGGCCUUCGGGUUGUGAACCUCUUUCGCCAGUGAAGCAGGCCUGCCUCGUUUGUGGGUGGGUUGACGGUAGCUGGAUAAGAAGCGCCGGCUAACUACGUG
rnacentral:rRNA from 1 species